AACAUCUUCCAUGGUUGUCCACGCCCAUCCGACUUCGAUAGAAGAUGCCAUAAGAUGAUGAAUAAAAAAAAAUAUAGUGUAUAAAGUGAAUAAUAUUAGAAGGAGAAGAAAAUGUAUGAAGAUUUGGUGUUGAAAGUGAAGAAUAUUGGUAGGUAUUUAUAGAAAAAAAGUUCAGAAUAUUUUGGUAAUUUGUAAAAAAUAAUUAAAAAAAAAAUUUCGGAUUUUUAACGCACAAAAAAAGGCAACCAUUGGAUUGGAGGACAAAAAAGGAUCAGACAACCUAGAACUUGCCAUGUGGCUUCUAGCUGUUGGUGGAUAUCAAGGAUGACGCCAGCCUGGUGUCAGCUCACAUGCCAACGGUAAAAAUAUUUUAAACCCGGGCGCUGACGUCAGGUUGUCAUCAGCUCUAACGUCAGCAGCCCUCAAGCUAGAGCACGAGCUCGUUUUGCCUUUAGACUGGCC
rnacentral:lncRNA from 1 species